CAGAAAAGGUGGCGAAGUGGAAUUCACUGCAGAACCACAUCCGUUCAUUGUGCAGAACACAAAAUGUACAUGUUCAUGAGAACCACCUCUUCCCCAAGUGUGAACACCCAGACAAAGUUUCCAGGGAUCCAAAAAAAUGGAUCCAACCAGGAUCAAUAGCGCUCCAUAAAGUGGAAAAGCUAUUAUACAACAAGAGAGUUCUCAAGGAUAUAGAAAAGCUCAGCCACAACUUUCAGACGUCAUCACUGGAGGCUUUCCACAGUCUGAUUUUGCGUUUUGCCCCAAAGAACGUGAUUUUCCCUUUCAUAGGAAUGUUGUGCAGGGGAAUGCACAGCAAAGCCAGUGAAAAUAGAACCAACAUACAACUAUGUCGAUGACCUUAUGAGCCUUCUGUUACAUAAAGUCUUUGUGGACCCCAAGCCAUAUGCGGAAGAGCUGCAUGCAAUCCCCAUUCCACCUCCUCUGUCAUCACAGUGUGAAAAACCUUCCAAAG